rnacentral:tRNA from 1 species
CGGGGUGUGGCUCAGUUGGUUAGAGCGCGCGCUUUGGGAGCGCGAGGUCCCCGGUUCGAAUCCGGGCACCCCGA